UACGUAGGGGGCAAGCGUUGUCCGGAUUUAUUGGGCGUAAAGAGCGUGUAGGCGGCCAGGUAGGUCUGGUGUGAAAACUCGAGGCUUAACCUCGAGAUGUCAUCGGAAACCAUCUGGCUAGAGUCCGGAAGAGGAGAGUGGAAUUCCUGGUGUAGCGGUGAAAUGCGCAGAUAUCAGGAAGAACACCAAUGGCGAAAGCAGCUCUCUGGGACGGUACUGGACGCUGAGACGCGAAAGCCGUGGGGAGCGAACAGG
rnacentral:rRNA from 1 species